AUGAUGAAACAAUAUAAGCACAAGAUUAGUGGAAGACAUUGUGGCUCUGAAAAGCAGCUGUGCCUACGACUCUCCAAUGGUGGGAUAUCUGAACAGCCUCAAGCUGAGCAGGGAAUUGAACUGAGGACUCCCACAAUCUGUUCUCCCUGCUGUUUCUCAAUUGAAAACACAAUGUUACUCGCUAGAAAUGGCGGAGACAGGUCCUUAAAGACCAGGGGGAUCUGCACAGUGCCAGCAGCAGGACCCUACAGCUCACUGACAGUAACUCUGCUCUGCAAGGUGGAUGAAGUUGAACUGAACUGAUUGUGAGCCUAUGUGGUGUCUUCCUAAAAAUGACAGGUACAGUGCCCACAACUCCGUGUUAUUGAUGAUAACCUCGCCUACCCUCAGUACAACACUUUGGCCUUUCAGCAGAAAACUCAAAUGAGAUGUUCCCUACCUGCUGUUCCAAAUGCCAAAAGAAUCCACCUUACCUUUUCCAUGAGAAAUUAGAAAUUACCCCAUGAGGGAGGUUAUAAUCCACUGCCAAGUGGGAGAGUCACGAUUAACCAGAGCAACCUGAUUGAUCUCUGUGUGAGGUUUUCUGAAUGAAGCUCUGGUUGUUUUCCACUGCAACAAGCUGCACAGCAAGGUAACUUGUGGGGUGCUCUUAGGGAAAACUUAAAGACCACUCUGCUCAAGACUGUGUCCUCCCAAAUUAGAUCCACACUGGCAUGAUGAAGGAAGGACAAUUGAUCAGUCAAACAAACACCAAGGAUGUACUGACACAAUUCUCAGUCUUUGGCCCCAGCUGAAAGGUGAGAUGAAGAGCAAUGCACUCCUGCUUGUGUGACUCAGUCACAGUCCAGUGCUGUUAAAAAUAUUGCCUAUUUGAUCUACCUGAAAAGGAUCAUUUAUUGCUCCCCAAAAUCCUGUGACAUGAGACAGAGUAGCCAUGGGGACCUGUGAGCAUCAUUUUUUCACACAAAUGUUCUGGAUGUUCUGGACACACAAAAAUUUCCCUCCUUCCCCAGAAUUAGAUAUCUGCUCUCAGUUCUGGUUGUAAACUAUUGUGUAGUGUGUCUGUGUUUUGAUUAUCAUGAAAAUUAUACCCUGGAGCUAUCUGCACUGUGGUUCUCUGUGUGUCUCACUAAAGAGGUGAAUGAAAUCAUCUCUGGCAGUCCAGUUUGUACAGCGGCUGUCUAGGCAGUGCAUAAACAGGAUCCUUUUUAUUUACGUCAGUUGCAUAAAACCAAAAUUCUUUCCAAGGAUUUGCAUGUUCACAGGCCUAAUCAUGUUAGCACAGCACACAUUUGCAAAUUUACUCUCUGUCAAUUGCUGGAAUCUGGAAAUCUCUCUGAUUGCUGUUGGAGGCAUCACCAGUGCCAGAGGCAGUGGAGGGAGCAGGUAGGGGUGCAGCAGCUGAGGGUGUGAGCAGAGGAUGCACCCUUCCUUGCCAGCAAUGGAAAUGCCAGCUGAAUAGCAAAUGAUCUAUUGUUCCUGGUUAAGUAAAUAACACUAGCUUCCUAUCCCUCUGGAAGCUGUAUGUGUAAACCAAAGCUUCAUUCACCCCAGCUCCUACUCCUUAAUUGUUGUAUGUCCAUGUUCAGACUUGCACAAAAUGUGUAAAUCAAGGAAUAAUAAAGAGGGACAUAUUUCCA
rnacentral:lncRNA from 1 species